CGCCCUUGAGUUUGAUCAUGGCUCAGAUUGAACGCUGGCGGCAGGCCUAACACAUGCAAGUCGAGCGGAUGAGUGGAGCUUGCUCCAUGAUUCAGCGGCGGACGGGUGAGUAAUGCCUAGGAAUCUGCCUGGUAGUGGGGGACAACGUUUCGAAAGGAACGCUAAUACCGCAUACGUCCUACGGGAGAAAGCAGGGGACCUUCGGGCCUUGCGCUAUCAGAUGAGCCUAGGUCGGAUUAGCUAGUUGGUGAGGUAAAGGCUCACCAAGGCGACGAUCCGUAACUGGUCUGAGAGGAUGAUCAGUCACACUGGAACUGAGACACGGUCCAGACUCCUACGGGAGGCAGCAGUGGGGAAUAUUGGACAAUGGGCGAAAGCCUGAUCCAGCCAUGCCGUUUUUUUUGAAGAAGGUCUUCGGAUUGUAAAGCACUUUAAGUUGGGAGGAAGGGCAGUAAGUUAAUACCUUGCUGUUUUGACGUUACCGACAGAAUAAGCACCGGCUAACUUCGUGCCAGCAGCCGCGGUAA
rnacentral:rRNA from 1 species